rnacentral:rRNA from 1 species
CCUACGGGGGGCAGCAGUGAGGAAUAUUGGUCAAUGGGCGCGAGCCUGAACCAGCCAAGUCGCGUGAGGGAAGACGGCCCUAUGGAUUGUAAACCUCUUUUGUCGGGGAGCAAAAGACGCUACGCGUGGCGUUCCGAGAGUACCCGAAGAAAAAGGAUCGGCUAACUCCGUGCCAGCAGCCGCGGUAAUACGGAGGAUGCGAGCGUUAUCCGGAUUUAUUGGGUUUAAAGGGUGCGCAGGCGGAAGAGCAAGUCAGCGGUAAAAUUGAGGGGCUCAACCUCUUCGAGCCGUUGAAACUGGUUGUCUUGAGUGAGCGAGAAGUAUGCGGAAUGCGUGGUGUAGCGGUGAAAUGCAUAGAUAUCACGCAGAACUCCGAUUGCGAAGGCAGCAUACCGGCGCUCAACUGACGCUCAUGCACGAAAGUGUGGGUAUCGAACAGGAUUAGAUACCCCAGUAGUC